UACGGAGGGUCCAAGCGUUAUCCGGAAUCAUUGGGUUUAAAGGGUCCGUAGGCGGUUUUGUAAGUCAGUGGUGAAAGCCCAUCGCUCAACGGUGGAACGGCCAUUGAUACUGCAAGACUUGAAUUAUUGUGAAGUAACUAGAAUAUAUAGUGUAGCGGUGAAAUGCUUAGAGAUUACAUGGAAUACCAAUUGCGAAGGCAGGUUACUAACAAUAUAUUGACGCUGAUGGACGAAAGCGUGGGUAGCGAACAGG
rnacentral:rRNA from 1 species